rnacentral:rRNA from 1 species
CCUACGGGAGGCAGCAGUAAGGAAUCUUCCACAAUGGGCGAAAGCCUGAUGGAGCAACGCCGCGUGCAGGAUGAAGGCUCUAGGGUCGUAAACUGCUUUUGUUUGUGACGAUUAUGACGGUAACAAGCGAAUAAGGGUCUGCUAACUACGUG